CUUUGUGACCCGCUAGCCUGUCCAUGGAAUUCUCUGUCCAUGGAAUUCUCCAGGCAAGAAUACUGGAGUAAGUUGCCAUUCUCUUCUCCAGGGGAACUUCCCGACCCAGGGAUUGAACCCAGGUCUUCUGCUUUGCAGGCUGAUUCUUUACUGAGUUACCAGGGAAGUCUGCUUCUUCCCAAACUCAGGUCCUAGGGCUCACUGGAGAAUAUCGCCAUCGGACCAGCAGGAGGCACUCUGCCCAGGCAUGGCCAGAUGAAGACAUUUCCUAGCGGAAAACCAAAGCUGACCUCAGAAAAUCAGAAGGUGAGGAGCUCACCUCCCAAGUCCCACUUUUCCCCAAGUCUAAAGAUUAGCCAACCAGACUCUCCAGAGUUCAUCUUGGCCAUCUCCCUGCACCCAGACCUACCCUCUCCAAGACAAGCCAUCACCAGCUGGAACAACAGAGAAGGAAUGGAGAAGCAAGAGAGAAGUGGGAAGCAGUGUGGCGCUGGGUUUCCUUUGAAAUCUUGCUUUGUGCCAAAAUAAAAGAAGGAGCUAUAUAGCAUUGGAUUCUGGGCUCCCUUACCCAAAUGGUAG
ensembl:lncRNA